GUGAUGAUCUCUCACUCGUUGUUCACACAAUUUUUAUAGAAAUGUGACAAAUGGAUGGUAAUGUUUCUAAAAUAUUUGCUCGUGUAAAAUAUCUUAAGCAUCUUUAAUGUACAUACACAAAGUACAUUGACUUUAAUAUUACAAGUAUUAAUAUUACACAAUUUAGUACUCUCCAUGAAAUGUGUUUGCAUGUUGAAAAUAAAUUACAACAUUGUUUGAGGAUGAAAAAAAUUGUUUUUAGUGGAGCCAAAUAAAUAAAUAAAUAAAUAAAAUGCCACAGAGAAACUGCAAAUGUCAGUAUUCUAUAUUUAUUUUAUCAGAAUCAUUAUUUGAUUUGGUCAAUUUCCACUUUUUCCCCAACUCAUUUGUACUUGUUGUACAUAAAAAAAUAUUUCUGCAUUUUAGAAAAUGUACCAUGUUCAGCACUCUUCCAUGCAGUGUUUGUCUGCAAUAUUCUAAUUUUGCUCUUCAGUGGAAUAGUGAACAUAAUUCUAUGUGAAAGACUGAGGAGAAGAAAAUGUGAACGGUGUGCUGCACAGCAGAGAUGGGUUCAACACACUCCGUCAGACGGUGACCCACCUCAACCAAAUUGCUCUGAUGAUCGAGAUAGUGUGGACCUGAACUACACAAUGCUACAAUUUCCUGGGGACAACACAAACACAGAGGGCUCUGUGAGCGUGCAGAGAGAGAAUACAAUAAAGGACACUGUGUAUUCCAGCCUAAAAUGUCAAAUUUCAAACAUUACUGAAGGGAACUAAUGUUUUUUUUUAUUUUUAUUUUUUCUUGUAAUUGUUCAAAGACUGUUGACACAUGACAUGAUUGGACUGAAAUAAGUAUGUAUUUGAACUUUUUAAAUUACUAAAGACUUACCUAAGACUUGGAAAACAUGGUGGUCCUUAUCUUCAACAGAAUUCCAUUAACCAUAGAGGUUGCAUCAUAUAGAGUAUGGGCUUCACAUUAAGCAUUUCCAGGUACUGGUCUUUAAAACUGAUUAAUAGUAAUAAAAUAUAUAUUUUUAUUAUUGUUAUGGUAUUGAAUAUAAUUGUAUUAUUCAAUGUUAUAUUUAUAUCUUGAUUACAUCACUUUCACUCAACAUUGCAAGGCUAUCUGAUAAAACCAUUGAGCCAUCAUUUCAGAAAUGCUUUAAUUUCAAAGUAAAUUGAACACUACACAACUUACCUAUAAACUGUGUAAAUGAAUGUCUAGUACAAAGAGUUAUGUUCUUAAAACCUAGUUCAGAUGGCAAAUCAAAUAUAGAUCACAUUAUUAUUUCUGUAAAUACUGUUUACACAGAGAUUUGCCAAUUACACUGUAACCUCAAGAGGGUGGUUAUAAUGUGCAAAAGUAAUUUCACCCCUGUUGCUAAUUUAUAAUUGGUGAAACCACAGGUGUCCAAAAUUUAUUAUUGGGGGUCAGAUGCAGAAAAAAAAAAUACUGUAAUACAGCCGCAUGACUGUAAUAAUAAUGAUAAUAAAAGGCUAAAUGUUCUUAGAU